rnacentral:rRNA from 1 species
AGGACGAACGCUGGCGGCGUGCUUAACACAUGCAAGUCGAGCGGAAAGGCCCUUUCGGGGGUACUCGAGCGGCGAACGGGUGAGUAACACGUGAGCAACCUGCCCUGGACUUUGGGAUAACCCUCGGAAACGGGGGCUAAUACCGAAUAUUACUUCUGCCCGCAUGGGUGGUGGUGGAAAGAUUUUUUGGCUGGGAUGGGCUCGCGGACUAUCAGCUUGUUGGUGGGGUGAUGGCCUACCAAGGCGACGACGGUUA